AGUUAAAAUGUUUGUUAAGCUACUCCCUUUCCUAUAUAGUUGAAAUUUUUACUAUAGUGACAAGAGGGCGGGUGGGCGGGCAAUUUUUUGACGUUUCGCGCCAGCUAGAGGGUCGUGCGAUACCUCAAAAGAAGCGUCUCGCCGAGCUCUAGCCAGUGGUACAGAAUUUAAAGAUUUUUUGAAGAAAAAUCUUUUAUUUUUCAGGAAAACAAGAAAAAUUUUGACGUUUUAUACAAGAAAAUACAAAAUUUUGGAUUUCCGGAAGCGCGGAACGCACUCCAGAAAGUAGGGCGGAUCGGUCGAAAAGGUGGGGGUGUCAAAAAUUGACGUCACACCACUGCGAUUCCUAGUUUGAAGGGUCGGUGCGUGCUUACAAGCCAGUUGCACUUUAAAAUCGCAAAAAACCGCUUCAAAAUAAGCCUCUUGUAAGAAAAGUUAUGGAGGGUGAUUUUUGGUGUGCAAUCACUUAGGUGGAUUUCGCAGUAAAAGUUUGUACGGUGAACGGGUUUUGGUCAAUUUUUUGACGUUUCGCGCCAGCUAGAGGGUCGUGCGAUACCUCAAAAGAAGCGUCUCGCCGAGCUCUAGCCAGUGGUACAGAAUUUAAAGAUUUUUUGAAGAAAAAUCUUUUAUUUUUCAGGAAAACAAGAAAAAUUUUGACGUUUUAUACAAGAAAAUACAAAAUUUUGGAUUUCCGGAAGCGCGGAACGCACUCCAGAAAGUAGGGCGGAUCGGUCGAAAAGGUGGGGGUGUCAAAAAUUGACGUCACACCACUGCGAUUCCUAGUUUGAAGGGUCGGUGCGUGCUUACAAGCCAGUUGCACUUUAAAAUCGCAAAAAACCGCUUCAAAAUAAGCCUCUUGUAAGAAAAGUUAUGGAGGGUGAUUUUUGGUGUGCAAUCACUUAGGUGGAUUUCGCAGUAAAAGUUUGUACGGUGAACGGGUUUUGGUCAAUUUUUUGACGUUUCGCGCCAGCUAGAGGGUCGUGCGAUACCUCAAAAGAAGCGUCUCGCCGAGCUCUAGCCAGUGGUACAGAAUUUAAAGAUUUUUUGAAGAAAAAUCUUUUAUUUUUCAGGAAAACAAGAAAAAUUUUGACGUUUUAUACAAGAAAAUACAAAAUUUUGGAUUUCCGGAAGCGCGGAACGCACUCCAGAAAGUAGGGCGGAUCGGUCGAAAAGGUGGGGGUGUCAAAAAUUGACGUCACACCACUGCGAUUCCUAGUUUGAAGGGUCGGUGCGUGCUUACAAGCCAGUUGCACUUUAAAAUCGCAAAAAACCGCUUCAAAAUAAG